rnacentral:rRNA from 1 species
AGCGAACGCUAGCGGCAGGCCUAACACAUGCAAGUCGAACGAAGUCUUCGGACUUAGUGGCGGACGGGUGAGUAACACGUGGGAACGUGCCUUUAGGUUCGGAAUAACUCAGGGAAACUUGUGCUAAUACCGAAUGUGCCCUUCGGGGGAAAGAUUUAUCGCCUUUAGAGCGGCCCGCGUCGGAUUAGCUAGUUGGUGAGGUAAAGGCUCACCAAGGCGACGAUCGGUAGCUGGUCUGAGAGGAGGGGCAGCCACAUUGGGACUGAGACACGGCCCAAACUCCUACGGGAGGCAGCAGUGGGGAAUCUUGCGCAAUGGGCGAAAGCCUGACGCAGCCAUGCCGCGUGAAUGAUGAAGGUCUUAGGAUUGUAAAAUUCUUUCACCGGGGACGAUAAUGACGGUACCCGGAGAAGAAGCCCCGGCUAACUUCGUGCCAGCCGCCGCCGUAACAC